GAUUUCAAUUGAAAAAGUCAUCAACAACAAAGUUGAAUAACUCAUCAAGAUCUAAAACUUUUAUUUUUGUUAUUUCUUCAUCUGACAAAAUGUUAGUAACAUUAUUCACAAAUUUUACAUAUAUGUGUUAUAGUUUAUAAAACCAGAUAAGAGAUAUGUCAAUUUUAUGAACAAUGUUACUAUCACUUUGUUGUAUGAAGAAAUGACCAAAAUAAAAGUUUUAGAUCUUGAUGAGUUAUUUAACUUUGUUGUUGAUGACUUUUUCAGUUGAUAUC
rnacentral:pre_miRNA from 1 species